rnacentral:rRNA from 1 species
GACGAACGCUGGCGGCGUGCUUAACACAUGCAAGUCGAACGGAUAUGCCCUGCUUUUGUGGGGUGCUCGAGUGGCGAACGGGUGAGUAACACGGGAGUAACCUGCCCUUGACUUUGGGAUAACUUCAGGAAACUGGGGCGAAUACCGGAUAUGAGCUCCUGCUGCAUUGUGUGGGUUGUAAAGUUUCGGCGGUUGGGGAUGGACUCGCGGCUUAUCAGCUUGUUGGUGGGGGAGUGGCUUACCAAGGCUUUGACGGGUAGCCGGCCUGAGAGGUUGACCGGCCACAUUGGGCCUGAGAUACGGCCCAGACUCCUACGGGAGGCAGCAGUGGGGAAUAUUGCACAAUGGGCGGAAGCCUGAUGCAGCAACGCCGCGUGCGGGAUGACGGCCUUCGGGUUGUAAACCGCUUUCGCCUGUGACGAAGCGUGAGUGACGGUAAUGGGUAAAGAAGCACCGGCUAACUACGUG